rnacentral:lncRNA from 1 species
UGUCAACAUCCGUUUUUAAACUUGUCAAGGUGUUUUCUUCACGAUCUCCAUGGAAAAUAUUCACGCUUUCACUUUUUGCUCAGAUAAUAGAACAUUGUAAAUCUCUAACUGAAAAUACGGACCAAAAUGAAUCAAAUUCGAAAGCACGUAUGAUCACGUUUCAUGCCGAUUGCAAGUUCUCGAAAAGGGGGGUACAAUGUAAUUUUCAAUGCCCCAUAAAUUGCAAAAUAUAGGCUACUGAGCACCACGAAUUUUGAUGAACGUCUCGGUUAACUCAAAAGUGGACCCCAUAGAGCGGAAUUUAGGUGGGGGCCAGAAGCUCCCCUUUUUCUUGGAAAAAAAAUUGGUUUUGCUAUAUAUGGGAACAACUGUAAGCGUGAACUGCGAGCCACUUCCUUUAGGUCAGUCAGUGGCCCCCAACCUAAAUGAAAAAUUUCUGGACACUCCCCACUCCAAGACCCACUUAAUCUGUUGGUAUUGUUUAGUAUACCAGUGUACUAAUAUUCAUUUGGAAAAAAAAUAUUUGUGUCCCUGAUUUCAUAUAUAUAUGUCAUGUACAUAUGUACACCAAAAUGUAAAAUUCAUAAAAAUUAAAUCUUUCAUAAACAUAAAAUACAAAAGGAAAGCGAUUACAGGCACAGGCUCCUCUUUCCCAUACACAAAAAAAAUAGAUAGCCAUGCAUCCUCUAAAUUCAUAUCUCAUAUUUUAAAAGAAAUUUACACAUUGAAAUUAACUACUGAAUCACCCACCCAUUUCAGAGCUUAUACAUGUACAUGUAUCUCAUGACCAGGAAUUAUUACAAAUUUGAUAUGCCUGUACAGAUUCUUUAUAUCCAUUAUGUUAUAUUAUUCCUAUAGGCUAUAGUCAUAUAUAUUUAUACAACUAAUCAUGCUAAUUAUCAUGCUACUUAGAAAUGAUAAUCCAUUGACAAUAUUAAUUUCUUUCAAAAAAAGUACUUCAACUUGAUUGAUAUCAUAAUAUUAUCAAAAUAAUGGUGUUAUGACAGUGGUGGUUCAUGGAUUCAAAUUAAAACAAGGUUGUGAGUGCCCUGAAAAUGUAAAAAAAAAUCAGCUUGCAUAUAUUUAUGUACACUGUACACUAUUAUAAUACAUGUUUUCUUUGCCUGUAACUUUUAUGUAUUGAGCAGAAAUUUAUAAUAAUAGAUAUAUAUAAAAUUGCAAAUGGAAAUGGGUUAUGUGUCAAAGAAACAGCAACCAAACAAAGAGCAGACAACAGUCUACAGCCACCAAUGGGUCUUCUUUGCUUUAUAUUUACAGGAUGGAGAAAGAUGUUCACUAUGAAUCAAAAAUUCAAAACAGAGAACUUUUAUAUAUCAACAAAAACAAUUGCAGUACAUGCACAUAUACAUGUUUAAAAGGUAUGAUAUACAUACAGCAAGAAAACAGUAAUCAAAUGGAAUGUCAAAUUAUUUUGUUUAAAAUAGAAAACAAGAUGACUAGAAUAUAUUAACAUGAUUAGGGUAAGAAAUCCAAAUGUGUCUGUUCAGGGUAACACCAGUGGGUUAUUUUACAAUGCGCUAUGAUUUCAAUCUCACAAAUAUGAAACAAAACAUGAUAGACAAAUAUGAAUUAACACUAUUUUGAUAAUGAAAUAGACUGAAAAUAUUUUACAUUUAACAGUCAGACAAGAAAAUUGCCAAUGGAAUAAAUUUGGAAUGGAAGUUAAAAUUUAUAGUUUAUAGGUCCAAGAAUCAUACACAGACUUUUAAGACCAAAUGAUGGUAUACUUUUAAUAGUUUAAAAGAUUUUAUGCUACAUGUAUUAUCUAAGCUGUAUAAUUUCAAGAUUAGUUUCAUUUGGAUUUAAAAAACCUAAUUUUCCACAAGAAAUGAGGGUUAGUAAUUUAAAAUUUCAUUAAUAAAGAUUUAAAAACAAUAUAAUGGAAUUAACUCUUAAAGCAUGAUGUGCAUCAUAAUAAUAUCCAUGAGAAUGUCAGAAGGUGUUUAAAUAAACUUGAACAUUUUUUUCAGAAUACAUGUAAGAGAAUGACUUAAGCAGACCAUAUUUUUGGGUCAAUGAUGCCCAUAACAAUGAAAUAACAAUAUAUUAAAAUUAUCAUUUAUCAUUUAUCAUUACUUUUCAAUUGAAUCAACACCUUAAAUUGAAUAACAAUUUUUUUUUUUUUCAAUUUUCAGUACACUGUCAGCAUGGUCAGAAGAAGAAUUUUACUGAGGAUUAAAAUUUUUGAU